CACACUAGCAUCCUCCUCUGUGACACACAAUAAUACAUACAUGUACGGUACAUGAGACAAUGUUAUAUAAUCAGAUAGAGAAUGGAUAGGAGACCGCGGUGUCACACUCCAGUGUAGACUGUCAUUAGGAAGCUUCGUUAUGGAGAUGAGAGAGCAGGAAUCUGCUGGCAGACAAAUUAAGAUAACAACGACAAAACAAGAAAGAAACAAACAAAACGAUAUGGGAGUGGCCUAAAGCUGGGUGAUCGGUGCAACAUCGCUGGGGGUCUGGCCAGGUCUGGAAAUAUGAUGGAUCACAGAAAGAGAUGUCAGAUCCAGAGGGAUAGCAGAGAGCGUAUAGUACUGUAUGUACAUUCCCCUGGGCUACCUUAUUUACACACAGAAGAUGAAUAAUAUUAAUGUCUGUUUAGUAGUAAUUGUAACUGUAAGAGACAAGAAAUGCACAAUGUAUCUUCAUAAAGACAAUGUAGGUGCGUGUUUUACUAAAGAGUAAACUUAAUGUACUGUAAGUCA